UUUCUUUUCUUACUUCUUUCUUCUCCAAACUUCUUGGGCACUAAACUUGGAGCUUUUAACCCCAAUUUCCAACACAUACAAACCCUAGGAGAAGAAGAAAGAAAAAGAGAGAAAGGAAGAAAAAAGCUUGGUUUUGGUGAUUCAAGCAUGGAACGGUAAGAAUUCUUGUUUUUUUCUUGAGUAGUCUUUGAAAAUGAGUUAGUGACUUAGAGAAAUGUCUUGUGAUAGCAAAGAUUGGCUUGAUUGGAAAAAAAAUUGGUAACAUGUAAGCAAAUAAACCCAUGGGUACAUGAAGGAUUCAAAGUGGAAAAGGAAAAUGAUAAGCUUAACACUAUAUUUUAAAGCCUACGGUUAGUUGAAUAUUGUGAGGAAUUACGGUUGUUGAAAGGAUCUAUUUGCCUAAGCUAAUUGAAAAUUAUUAAGAUUGUAUGGCAUGUUGUUUGAAAGAAAUGAAAAAGGAAUAUUGUGGAUAGAGGAUUGAGAAACAAAGUAUUGAAAGUUAGAUAGAUAACGAUGCAUGUAAACUAGGAAAUAAUCGAGUGAAAGUGAGAAUGAUUAUUGCUGCCAUAUAUGUGGAUUAUGUGUGAAAAUAUAUAGUCACUUAAUGGUAGAUGGAAGCUAGUUAAAAAUAACUAGCAGAACAUGAUUUAGUGGAUAGCUUUUAGAACUAUACUUAUGCAAAUUGGGUUGGUUGUGAUGUUGUUGUGAUGAUAGGUCCCAACGAGGCCCCACAGUUCCAUUUGGGCCAUUAGUGAAGGUUGAAGUCGAGUAAAGAUUCAACAAAUAUCGGUGAGUGAACCCGCACUAAAAUGUUUUGGGUAGAUGUGCAUACGUUUGAGCGAACCAUUUAAACUGUUUAAAUUAUCUUUUCUUCAAAAUGCAUGGGAGCAAGCCUUUAGUGAAAUGUUUUUGUGGUGUGGAACAUGAUUGUGAUGAAUCUAUGUACUUUUAUAUGACGCUGAUAUGUAUAUAAGGAUAUACAAUAUAUACAUAUAUUGUUAAGUAAUUUUGUAUAAUUGAUGUAACCGUGCAUGUGCGGAGUGGGCAGUGGACAUGCUGGUUGAGUGAGGCUGCUUGUAGCGAGGGUUGUCCCCUAUGAGUUGAGCCAUCGCUGAAGGAGGAAAGGGUUGCUUGUAGCGAGGGUCAUCCCCUAUGAGUGGAGCCCAACCGUGCAUGUGCGGAGUGGGCAGUGCACAUGUCGGUAAUGAUACUAUCGUGAUAUUUAUAACCGUGCAUGUGCGGAAUGGGCAGUGCACAUGCCUGUAAUGAUGCACAUCAGCCUGGUGAGGUGAUGGUGGUGUAAGUGCUUAUAUAUAUACAUAUUUACUAUAUAGAGAUGUUUGGAUUUAAAAUGUGAUUGCACUGACUGUUGAAAACUUGAGCAUUGUCAAUAUGUUCAAUUUAAUGUUCAAUAUGGCAUGAGUGGAUUUUUUCGGUGGCAGUGAAAGCCCCUUGGAUUUUUAUCUGGCCAGAAUUUCGUUGCAGCAAGAAUGCCUUUUCGCUGCGGUGAGAGUCAAUCUAUUAUGCUUGACUUGCUUGCAAUCUACUAAAGUUUUCACUUCUCAACUUCCUUGUUACUUAUGAGUCUUUUGUCAUCAAGUAACUAAACGACCAAGGGUUGGAAUGAGGGGUUUUUAAAUAGAGAUAAAUUAAAUUGCAUUAUUUUGAAUUUAAGUGCAUCAUGCUUUCUAAACCUUCCUUAACAUUGCUUGUUCCCUUCCUAUGUUCACUCACUGAGUUUGUACUCACGUUUUAAAAUUCAUGUUUUAGGUUUUCCUGAGUUAAAGGUAAUUGGAUCCUAGGACGAGGUGCUCCUUCCUAUACAUUGCUUGAUAGGUUUAACGUGACUCUAAGUGAUAUCAAUCGUGCCCAGAGUCACUCCGCUGGCGGUCAAGUUCUAAUUACGUGUAUAUGAAUACUUGUUGAAAAAUGCUGAGAUUCAUUUGUCAAACUAUAUAUGUGUAUUAUGGUUGAUGAUGUCAUUUUGAAAGCAUAGUUGAGGUUUAUGAAUUGUUUUCAGAGGAACUAUAUUUGAACGAUACAGAUUUUGAAUUUUAAAC
rnacentral:lncRNA from 1 species